AUGAGAGGUGUCCUCCUAGUACUGGAAGAAAGGACCACCCUGAUCUCUGAAGACAUAGGGACCCCAGGAAGAACCGAAGCAAACAGGCCUUGCUGGAGGCAGGAAACCGCUGGAAGGGCAGAGGAUGGCCAUUGUCUAGGAGGCUGGGCUACUGACCACAGAAGGGACAGGGCCCUUUGGCCUGCAGAGCACAGAUAUGAGCAGAGCAGUUUUCACUGACGAGGCCUUCCGGGCUGCAGCAGGACAGCAUGUGCAUGCCCCUCAAAC
rnacentral:lncRNA from 9 species